GGACUCUUGGAUAUAUGAGGGAAUGGGGCGGGGAAAUGAGGAUAGAGGGCCAGGGCAGUUCAAAGAGAGUCCCACAGGCUGUGGUCAGAAAAUUUCAUCUUAUCCCACAAGCUGUGAGGAACCAGGGAAGAUGUUAAGCUUCGGAGUAUUAAAGUCAGAGUAAUAAACAUGGAAAGAAGCAAGAAGAGAAGGGUGUGCUGUGUUUUGAAAGGCCAGGUUGCAGUGUGGAAGAAGGCCUGGGGAGAGAGCCUCUGAGGUCUCUGGCCUGUGUUGGCUGGGGGGGUUGCAAGAAAAGGAAUUAAAGGUAAUUAACCCAGCAGUAGCUUUCACAUAAAGGAUAAUUCAGGCAAACUGGAAAUAGCUGGAAGUGGAGCCAGGUUUGAUAAGCUAUAUGCAGGCCUCUAGUGCUCCACUGGAAAGUAGACAUGAGACGGAUUGAAGCAGCAACUGGCACUGGGCAUGGCGAUGAAGCAGAAGCCAUUGAAUCACGCUCCAAAAUAUUAUCUUUACAAACAGGCUUCUAAUUUGAUUCUCCAUUUUUGUUCACUUAAAAACAUAUAGUAAUCGUUCUUUAACAAGACUUAGCAAAAUCAUAUAUAUGUAUUAUAUAUACACGUCCACAUGGAUACACACAAACACACACACACGGUUUAUUCUAUUUUUGUUUCUCCUAAAUCAUUUUUUUUUAACUGCUACAUGGAGGGUCAGAAGCACAGAUGCUGAGUCUGUUUAAAAUGGCCUAGAAAGCAAAGCACAUGCUUUAAUCUGAUGUCUAGGAUGCAUUUUAAAAAAUUGGAUUGAAAAGGAUUAGAUUAGAUUAGACCCUCUGGAUUUAAAAAUGUUAAAGCUCCAUUUAUGCUUUAACAUAAUCUCUUUCUACUCUCUGGAGCCAUCAAGCAGAAUGCAGUCUUGGGUAGCUUUUCUAUUAUUAUUAAAUUUUAGAUUUUUUUUUUAACAUCCCACUUUCAUAUUUGUAAUAGAAAGAAAUCCUCAGAGACUGGGCUAAAAGUUCUUUUGACCUGCUGCUAAACGGAAGCCUGGAUAUGUAUGCCUUCGGAUUUUUAGAAUGACUUCUAUAUAUUUGUACACACAGAGACACAUGGGACUAUGAAUAACUAGUUUUUAAAUCCAAAUAAUAGUGCGUGCUUUCACAUACUACGCAUUUUUAUGAAAUUAUAGUUGCCAGUACAAAAAUUCAUUAUAAAGCUAAAAUAAAAAACCUUUAUAAUAAGACUUUAUAUACGGU
rnacentral:lncRNA from 1 species